AUGACAAAUUUGCUUUAAAAAAUUGUAAGUAGUUCAACUUUAUAGACAAGAAUUUCCUCUGCAUUUCACAACAUGUGCUAAUAUGUUCGACCAUACUAUUUUUGUAACGAAUUGGUGAUUUUUUUUUUUUAAAAAUUGUGUGCAUGUAUUCUUAAGUAAUUAUAAUGAAUAGUGAGUCAGUUGCAAAUUUGAUCGCUAAAAUACCGUGAAAUUUUAGUGCUUUGCGUAAACUCUGCAACACAGUAAAAUUUCAAACAAUUAAUGGAGAACCCUGAACAAGUAACAAGCUACUAAAACUACUAACGUCUGCUAAAUGUUGUGUGACGCGUCUAGUGUGUUGGUGUUAGUGUCUGUGUGCUUGUCACCUCUCGCUUUCAGCCAUCACCGCUGGCUAGCAGCAAUGCAAAAAGGGGGAAGAAAUUCUAAUGACUUCCCCUGCCAGUACAUAGCCUCUCCACAACAAGUCCUAUGCGAUGCCUCCACGUGGAAGCAGACGGAUACUGGGUAUCAUUUUGUCCCAGGCUAAGUUCGCAAGGACGCACGGGAAGAUGAGUCUCAAAAGCAUUGAGGAAUACUUUUAAGGCUGAACAGAAUCCUGAAGUGAGGAGGACUCCCUCUUUCAUUGAACUGCAUACAGCAGCAGAAAGCAGGAUUUCAGUUCCCCUUUGAUUCAGAAGAGGAACAACAAUGGAGGACCAAGGUCAUCAAUAUAAGAAGAGUCUAUUCCUGUCUGUGUUUUGCAGCAGAAGAAAGUUAAGACUGACCAGGAAUUUUAAGUGAGGAAGAGUCCCUUUCCCAUUCCGCUGCAGCCAUGAAGAGAAUUUUAAUACUAAGAAUCAGACUUUACUUCUUUUUUACCUAUGGAACUUCAUCAUGACCCACUUUAACAGGCAGGAGUCUUACAAAUAUUUUUUAUUUAUAAUUAUUUCUGACAUAUCUUUGUCCUCCCUACUCUAAAGUAACUAUGCUUUCCUCUCCUUGCCCCAAUAUUCCACCUUAUUCCUAGCUAUCAUAACCUUAUUGUCUUUAUUUGCUUUUUGAUUUUCAAGCUAAUAAUGUUGUAAUGAUUAUGUUCAUUUGAAUUUCUGUGAUUAUUACAUUGCUUUGUAUUAUUGCUUAUCUUCUCUCCAUCAAGUAUUUCCAAGGAAUUUGACAAGGGAAGAGGACCAGUGCUGACCAAGUGAAGAAAAAGAAGAGUCUAUUGCCAAGCUUUGUACAGCAGCCAAUAUCUGAUUAAGGAGCAGACGGUUAUGCUGGCAUUGAUCCUGUUUCCAAAUUGAAAAGCAGAUCAACAUGAUUCCUCAAGACUCCAAAGAGAUCAACUAUGGGACCUGAAAAUAAAGGCAGACUGCCAUCAAUUUCAUGUUUCUUUGAUAGCAGACAAAUAUGCUUCAACAAUAGUGCAGAGAGUAAUUUAAGGUUUGGACUGCAAGUGAUGGACACACUAAAUAACUCAACUCAAAGAAUUCAAUGGAUAGUGCUCAGAGUACAUUAUUAUAUGUAUAUCUACAAAGUGAUGGGCACACUAAAUAGCUUAACUGACAGAAUUCAAUGGACCGUGCUGAGAACAUUGUUAUAUAUCUACAAAGUGAUGGACACACUAAAUAGCUUAACUGACAGAAUUCAAUGGACCGUGCUGAGUACAUUGUUAUCUACAAAGUGAUGGACACACUAAAUAGCUUAAUUCACAGAAUCCAAUGGACAGAGUUGAGUAUGUACUAAUAUCUACAAAGUGAAGGACACAGUAAACAGCUUAAUUCUCAGGA